AGAUGUGCUCGUAGAGUAACGAGCAGGGUAAUCAAAAGAAAUACUCAUAUAAGA
rnacentral:sRNA from 12 species